rnacentral:rRNA from 1 species
UCCUACGGGAGGCAGCAGUGGGGAAUUUUCCGCAAUGGGCGAAAGCCUGACGGAGCAAUACCGCGUGAGGGAAGACUGCCUAUGGGUUGUAAACCUCUUUUUUCAGGGAGGAAUCAAUGACGUGUACCUGAAGAAUAAGCAUCGGCUAACUCCGUGCCAGCAGCCGCGGUAAGACGGAGGAUGCAAGUGUUAUCCGGAAUCACUGGGCGUAAAGCGUCUGUAGGUGGUUUAAUAAGUCAACUGUUAAAUCUUGAGGCUCAACUUCAAAAUCGCAGUCGAAACUAUUAGACUAGAGUAUAGUAGAGGUAAAGGGAAUUUCCAGUGGAGCGGUGAAAUGCGUAGAUAUUGGAAAGAACACCGAUGGCGAAAGCACUUUACUGGGCUAUUACUAACACUCAGAGACGAAAGCUAGGGUAGCAAAUGGGAUUAGAUACCCCAGUAGUCCUAGCCGUAAACUAUGGAUACUAGAUGUUGAACAGAUCGACCUGUGCAGUAUCAAAGCUAACGCGUUAAGUAUCCCGCCUGGGAAGUAUGCUCGCAAGAGUGAAACUCAAAGGAAUUGACGGA